rnacentral:rRNA from 1 species
AGCAGCCGCGGUAAUUCCAGCUCCAAUAGCGUAUAUUAAAGUUGUUGCAGUUAAAAAGCUCGUAGUUGAAUUUCGGGAUUGACACAUCGGUCGUGCCCUAAGGGGUAUGAACUGGUGUAGUCAGUUUCUCACCUUCUGGAGAACCGCGAUGUCCUUAAUUGGGUGCCGCGAGGAACCAGGACCUUUACUUUGAAAAAAUUAGAGUGUUUAAAGCAGGCAUUUUGCUUGAAUACAUUAGCAUGGAAUAAUAAAAUAGGACGGAUGGUUCUAUUUUGUUGGUUUCUAGGAUCACCGUAAUGAUUAAUAGGGAUAGUUGGGGGCAUUAGUAUUCAAUUGUCAGAGGUGAAAUUCUUGGAUUAUGAAGACUAACUACUGCGAAAGCAUUUGCCAAGGAUGUUUCAUUAAUCAAGAACGAAAGUUAGGGGAUCGAAGACGAUCAGAUACCGUCGUAGUCUUAACCAUAAACUAUGCCGACUAGGAAUCAGACGAUGUUAAUUUUUUAAUGACUCGUUUGGCACCUUACGGGAAACCUAAAGG